GAUGAACGCUGGCGGCGUGCCUAAUACAUGCAAGUCGAGCGAACAGACGAGGAGCUUGCUCCUCUGACGUUAGCGGCGGACGGGUGAGUAACACGUGGAUAACCUACCUAUAAGACUGGGAUAACUUCGGGAAACCGGAGCUAAUACCGGAUAAUAUAUUGAACCGCAUGGUUCAAUAGUGAAAGACGGUUUUGCUGUCACUUAUAGAUGGAUCCGCGCCGCAUUAGCUAGUUGGUAAGGUAACGGCUUACCAAGGCAACGAUGCGUAGCCGACCUGAGAGGGUGAUCCGCCACACCGGAAGUGAGACACGGUCCCGACUCCGACGGGAGGCCGCAGUAGGGAAUCCUACGCAAUGGGCGAAAGCCUGACCGAGCAACGCCGCGUGAGUGAUGAAGGUCUUCGGAUCGUAAAACUCUGUUAUUAGGGAAGAACAAAUGUGUAAGUAACUAUGCACGUCUUGACGGUACCUAAUCAGAAAGCCACGGCUAACUACGUG
rnacentral:rRNA from 1 species